AACGGCAUGCAACAGACAGGCAGUAUGUGUCAAUUUGUUAUAAACGUGUGCUCUUUUAAAAGUAGUAAACAUUGUUUGCCAAUUACUUACAUUAAAUGUUUAAAAAUCAGUUACAUAAGGUACUGCUUAUAUCAUUUCACCAUCUGUACACAAAUGUAA